rnacentral:rRNA from 1 species
GACGAACGCUGGCGGCGUGCUUAACACAUGCAAGUCGAACGGAAAGGCCCUGCUUUUGUGGGGUGCUCGAGUGGCGAACGGGUGAGUAACACGUGAGUAACCUGCCCUUGACUUUGGGAUAACUUCAGGAAACUGGGGCUAAUACCGGAUAGGAGCUCCUGCUGCAUGGUGGGGGUUGGAAAGUUUCGGCGGUUGGGGAUGGACUCGCGGCUUAUCAGCUUGUUGGUGGGGUAGUGGCUUACCAAGGCUUUGACGGGUAGCCGGCCUGAGAGGGUGACCGGCCACAUUGGGACUGAGAUACGGACCAGACUCCUACGGGAGGCAGCAGUGGGGAAUAUUGCACAAUGGGCGGAAGCCUGAUGCAGCAACGCCGCGUGCGGGAUGACGGCCUUCGGGUUGUAAACCGCCUUCGCCUGUGACGAAGCGUGAGUGACGGUAAUGGGUAAAGAAGCACCGGCUAACUACGUG